rnacentral:rRNA from 1 species
GAUGAACGCUGGCGGCGUGCCUAAUACAUGCAAGUCGAGCGAACAGACGAGGAGCUUGCUCCUCUGACGUUAGCGGCGGACGGGUGAGUAACACGUGGAUAACCUACCUAUAAGACUGGGAUAACUUCGGGAAACCGGAGCUAAUACCGGAUAAUAUAUUGAACCGCAUGGUUCAAUAGUGAAAGACGUGUUUGCUGUCACUUAUAGAUGGAUCCGCGCCGCAUUAGCUAGUUGGUAAGGUAACGGCUUACCAAGGCAACGAUGCGUAGCCGACCUGAGAGGGUGAUCGGCCACACUGGAACUGAGACACGGUCCAGACUCCUACGGGAGGCAGCAGUAGGGAAUCUUCCGCAAUGGGCGAAAGCCUGACGGAGCAACGCCGCGUGAGUGAUGAAGGUCUUCGGAUCGUAAAACUCUGUUAUUAGGGAAGAACAAAUGUGUAAGUAACUAUGCACGUCUUGACGGUACCUAAUCAGAAAGCCACGGCUAACUACGUG